CCGGCCGCGCCUCGAGGGCCCCCGCGCAGCCGCCUCCCGCCCUCGCUCGGCCGAGCCUCGAGCGCCCCCGCCCCGAGCGCCGGUAUGGUGGCCUCCACGCACAUCGACGUGAAGAGGAGGCGGGCGCACGUCCUCACCCGCCCCGAAGAGGAAGAAGCCGACCAUGGAUAAGAAACCGUUAUAAGGGUUGGAUUUGAUGGUUCUAGUCUUUGUCCCUGUUUUUUAACCCUUAAAAAUAUCAAAAAAAAUAUCAAUUCUCAGUCCUUAAACUAGUUUGAGGGUUUAAGGGUUCGAGGAUACUACUAGUGAUGCUUUAAGAUAUGUCGCACAGUACUCUGCCUGUAGUGUGUACGUAGGAGCUCCUUUGGUGGUGUGGGUGGACGUUGCGAUCUGCCUUCCCUUGGUUUCUCCGGAAUGGAAUUUUGUGCGUGUUGCUCGCUCUGCCCAAGUGCCCAUGUGCUGCGCAUGUGCACUUGUGCCCUUGAAGAUUGCUUCGUUCCUUCCCGAUGCAUCAAUGGAACAUGUCCCCACCAGUGUCGCGGCAACGGGCCGCGGGGUGGAGAUCGUGGUUGCCGCGCCAGUCUGCACCCGAGACACCGUCCCCACUCGAGUCGGUGGUGUGGCUGAUUGUUAGAGUAUUUUUUUUAACACAAUAGAAACGCAAACGUUUAUAUACGUGUACAUACAUUUAUUUCUACAAACACGUAUACACAUCCUAUCUUUCUUAGCAUUUUCAUCAAGAGACUGAGUCGGCAUAUCACCUUGAAAUUUACAAAGUCAUCGUAUGCGCCUCGUCGUCGAUGAAAACGUCUCCUUUCACUAAAAACGUAUCGACGAAAAUCCUGAAAUAAAUUAAAAAUAAUGCAAGCAUCCGGAUUUAAACCAUGAUAGACUUCUUCUCUCUAACAAUUCAAUCAGAGGUUGGUUUGCUGCACCGACUUUUAAAAGUAUUUGUUCAUGGGUUGAUCAAGAUUUACCCCGUGGACCAUAAUAUGGAAGCCGGUCAUACAAGCCUGCCUUCAUACGUCUGUACUGUCUUUCUUUAAUUCCAUAGCACUCAAAAUAACAGCAUUUCAAUUCUUCUAUAAGUAAAAAUAAUAUGAUCACCCACUAUAAAUAAUAUGAUCUUCCAUAGCACUCAAAAUAACAGGAUUUCUAUUUGAAAGUUAGAUAGGAUCACCCAGGGCGGAGCCAGGAUUUGAGUAUAGGGGGGCGAAACGAACAACAAUCACAAAAAAAAUCAUAUAUAUGGGAUCACAUAAAAAAUGUAUCUUAAAUAUUUAUUGUAUUAGUUGUGCAUGUUAUAGUUUAGAUUAAAAAAAUGAAAUUAUAAUAUGUGUAUGGUUAUCGCUUUAAAUUUAGCUCUAUGAUGAAUAUCUACAAGACCAUACAAUUAACAAGUUGACAUUUAUUUUUGGCAGAAACUGUUCGAUUUUAUAGUAAGUGGAUUGAAAAAGACAAUAUCAUGUUAUAGUAUUUCUCUAUAUUUUCUAUCUAUAGUGGAAGUACAUCUAAACUGAAACAAAAGACAUUUAGAUCUAUGUCUAUCAUAUAACUAAGCACAUACAGACAGACAUAAUAAUACACCUACUAACUAAUUCAUCAAGCAAGAGUAGAUUGAUUGGGAGAUGGAUCCUAGCUUGUGUACCUGAUGAAUCCUUGAGGUGGGGACUUGACGACGGGCACCUUGCAGGUAGGGGCUCGGUGCUGCAACUGACGGCCUCUCAAGCUUCCGGCGGAGGGCGGCUGGAGGAGAGCCGCGACGCAAGGCGGAAGUGCGGAGCGGCCGCGCGAGGCGAGCAAAUCGAUCUGGGGAUAGAACCGUAUAGGUUACGGCUUGGUUGUAUUCCUUCACGAUAGUGCGUCAGUUAUGGCAUGAACUCUUGUAUCAUUUGGGCUUGGACCAUUAAAUGUACGUACUGGCCAUCAGGCCCUAAACAAAUUAGGAUAGCAUGCUUUAUCGAU
rnacentral:lncRNA from 1 species